rnacentral:rRNA from 1 species
UACGUAGGGGGCAAGCGUUGUCCGGAAUUAUUGGGCGUAAAGAGCGUGUAGGCGGCCCGACAAGUCCGCCGUGAAAGUCCAGGGCUCAACCCUGGAAUGCCGGUGGAAACUGUCGGGCUUGAGUUCGGAAGAGGCGAGUGGAAUUCCUGGUGUAGCGGUGAAAUGCGCAGAUAUCAGGAGGAACACCAAUGGCGAAGGCAGCUCGCUGGGACGACACUGACGCUGAGACGCGAAAGCGUGGGGAGCAAACAGG